UGAGGCCGGGGUCGUCAGGCGCUGUUAGCUUCUCCUGCCCAUGGUGCUCAUGUGCGUCUGGGGCCGGGCUGCGAGUGGCCGGGUGCAUCCAGCUAGUGCGUGUUCUGCAGCUUGACAAAGCUCUGGACUUGCAGUAAAGUCAACUAUUGGGCCAGGUCCAGGAUCUCCUGUAUAAAGCAGACUCCCUCUGGCUUGAUGAACAUGUAUCUGAAGAAAAUUAAAAGGGCUCAAGACACAGAUGGGAAUGGUGAGGAUCUCCAGGUAAAGAAAAAAAUGCAAGUGACCAUGGGAUG